CGUGUAGGCGGCUUGGAAAGUCUUACGUGAAAGCCUGCGGCUCAACCGCAGAAGUGCGUAGGAAACUUCCUCGCUAGAGUCCGGAAGAGGAGAGCGGAAUUCCUGGUGUAGCGGUGGAAUGCGCAGAUAUCAGGAGGAACACCCGUGGCGAAGGCGGCUCUCUGGGACGGUACUGACGCUGAGACGCGAAAGCGUGGGAGCGAACA
rnacentral:rRNA from 1 species